CAGUAGCGAAGGUCAUGUACUCCGGCUGUCGAGAAAAGCCUCUAGCCAGGCGAAGGUGCCCGUACCGCAAACCGACACAGGUAGGCGAGCAGAGCAUGCUAAGGCGCGCGGAAGAACUCUCGUUAAGGAACUCGGCAAAAUGACCCCGUAACUUCGGGAGAAGGGGUGCCUCGGUAGGGUGAAUAGCCCGAGGGGGCCGCAGUGAAAAGGCCCAAGCGACUGUUUAGCAAAAACACAGGUCUGUGCGAAGCCGUAAGGCGAAGUAUACGGGCUGACGCCUGCCCGGUGCUGGAAGGUUAAGGGGAGCGGUUAGGGGUAACCCGAAGCUGUGAACCGAAGCCCCAGUAAACGGCGGCCGUAACUAUAACGGUCCUAAGGUAGCGAAAUUCCUUGUCAGGUAAAUUCUGACCCGCACGAAUGGCGUAACGACUUGGGCGCUGUCUCAACGAGAGAUCCGGUGAAAUUUUAAUACCUGUGAAGAUGCAGGUUACCCGCGACAAGACGGAAAGACCCCAUGGAGCUUUACUGCAGCUUGAUAUUGGACUUUGGUACGAUCUGUACAGGAUAGGUGGGAGCCAUUGAAGCAUGAGCGCCAGCUUGUGUGGAGGCGACGUUGGGAUACCACCCUGAUCGUAUCGGAGUUCUAACCUGCUACCCUGAAUCGGGUAGAGGGACCGUGUCAGGCGGGCAGUUUGACUGGGGCGGUCGCCUCCUAAAAUGUAACGGAGGCGCCCAAAGGUUCCCUCAGAAUGGUUGGAAAUCAUUCGGAGAGUGCAAAGGCAUAAGGGAGCUUGACUGCGAGACCUACAAGUCGAGCAGGGACGAAAGUCGGGCUUAGUGAUCCGGUGGUACCGAAUGGAAGGGCCAUCGCUCAACGGAUAAAAGCUACCCUGGGGAUAACAGGCUUAUCUCCCCCAAGAGUCCACAUCGACGGGGAGGUUUGGCACCUCGAUGUCGGCUCAUCGCAUCCUGGGGCUGAAGUAGGUCCCAAGGGUUGGGCUGUUCGCCCAUUAAAGCGGUACGCGAGCUGGGUUCAGAACGUCGUGAGACAGUUCGGUCCCUAUCUGUCGUGGGCGCAGGAAAUUUGAGAGGAGCUGUCCUUAGUACGAGAGGACCGGGAUGGACGUACCGCUGGUGUACCAGUUGUUCCGCCAGGAGCACCGCUGGGUAGCCAAGUACGGACGGGAUAAGCGCUGAAAGCAUCUAAGCGUGAAGCCCCCCUCAAGAUGAGAUUUCCCAAUUCGUAAGACCCCUUGAAGACGACGAGGUUGAUAGGCUGGGGGUGGAAGCACAGCAAUGUGUGGAGCUGACCAGUACUAAUCGGUCGAGGGCUUAUCCUAA
rnacentral:rRNA from 1 species